GAGCCCCCAGGUGACACAGAGCUUUCUGCAGCAGAAGCAGCGCCAAGGCGCAGCGGAGAGGACCCUGCAGAGGAGGAGACACCCCGCACCGACUGCUGGCAAGGAAACAAAGCAGACAAUAGAGUUCCCUUCAUGCACCCGUCUCUUCACAAAAAAAGCCGUCCCGCCUCGCACCAGGGAAGGGAAUACCGAAGCACAACAGACCACAGGAAGCCCGAGGAGAAACCCACCAACAUGAAAGUGAUGACAUCACAAUGACAUCACGUGUUUGAGACUCAUGUGAGCCGCUUGUGGUAUGGCCUGGCAACAAUGUCAUUGUGUCCGACUUGGGCAAUAAACAAUUACAUUAACAACCUUGA